GCCCGUUUGGCUCAGCGGUAGAGCGCCUCACUAGUAGAAAAAGGAAAAAACACAAUUCCUCUUCCUCGACAUGAGGAGGCGACUGGUUCGACUCCAGUAAUGGGCA
rnacentral:tRNA from 1 species